rnacentral:rRNA from 1 species
CUGGAGGUAUCAGAAGUGCGAAUGCUGACAUAAGUAACGAUAAAGCGGGUGAAAAGCCCGCUCGCCGGAAGACCAAGGGUUCCUGUCCAACGUUAAUCGGGGCAGGGUGAGUCGACCCCUAAGGCGAGGCCGAAAGGCGUAGUCGAUGGGAAACGGGUUAAUAUUCCCGUACUUGGUGUUACUGCGAAGGGGGGACGGAGAAGGCUAUGUUGGCCGGGCGACGGUUGUCCCGGUUUAAGCGUGUAGGUGUGUGUUCCAGGUAAAUCCGGUUCACUUUAACACUGAGGCGUGAUGACGAGGCACUACGGUGCUGAAGCAACAAAUGCCCUGCUUCCAGGAAAAGCCUCUAAGCAUCAGGUAACAUCAAAUCGUACCCCAAACCGACACAGGUGGUCAGGUAGAGAAUACCAAGGCGCUUGAGAGAACUCGGGUGAAGGAACUAGGCAAAAUGGUGCCGUAACUUCGGGAGAAGGCACGCUGACACGUAGGUGAAGUGAUUUACUCAUGGAGCUGAAGUCAGUCGAAGAUACCAGCUGGCUGCAACUGUUUAUUAAAAACACAGCACUGUGCAAACACGAAAGUGGACGUAUACGGUGUGACGCCUGCCCGGUGCCGGAAGGUUAAUUGAUGGGGUCAGCGCAAGCGAAGCUCCUGAUCGAAGCCCCGGUAAACGGCGGCCGUAACUAUAACGGUCCUAAGGUAGCGAAAUUCCUUGUCGGGUAAGUUCCGACCUGCACGAAUGGCGUAAUGAUGGCCAGGCUGUCUCCACCCGAGACUCAGUGAAAUUGAACUCGCUGUGAAGAUGCAGUGUACCCGCGGCAAGACGGAAAGACCCCGUGAACCUUUACUAUAGCUUGACACUGAACAUUGAGCCUUGAUGUGUAGGAUAGGUGGGAGGCUUUGAAGCGUGGACGCCAGUCUGCGUGGAGCCGACCUUGAAAUACCACCCUUUAAUGUUU